GAGUAUUAAAGUUGACGGUAUCUUUGUGAAAAAUUUCGAGAAGAGGGAAUUUUGAAUUUAAAUCGUUUCUAUCUAUGUUCCUCUUGUUAGAAAUUAAGAAUAAAAUACUGUCUUCAUCAACUUUGUUCCAUCUCC